CCCACACCCAUGUGUGUAGUACCUUAAAGGAUCACCAUUAAAUUUAACACAGAUCUCUAGAAAAGUUAUCACAUGGGUGUGAGACUUGACUUUUUUAGGCAUCUGUGCCAAAUUUAAUGAUGAUCCUUUGGGGUCCUACACUCAUGGGUGUGGA
rnacentral:pre_miRNA from 1 species